rnacentral:misc_RNA from 1 species
GUAGGUGAACCUGCGGAAGGAUCAUUAAUGAAACUUCAAAAGUCGGCUCUUCGUUCUGUGCUGGCGGAGAGAUCCGCAUGUGCACGUCGACGGGUCGCAAAUCCACACACACCUGUGCACCCAUGACUCUGAGCGCCGCUUUGUGUGGCCCUUUAUCGGGCCUGGCGCUCGAGUACCAUUUACACACUCUGAAUGUAACGGAAUGCCUAUUGUGCAUAAAUGUACAACUAAAACAACUUUCAACAACGGUUCUCUUGGCUCUC